rnacentral:rRNA from 1 species
ACUCCUACGGGAGGCAGCAGUGGGGAAUAUUGGACAAUGGGCGCAAGCCUGAUCCAGCCAUGCCGCGUGAGUGAUGAAGGCCCUAGGGUUGUAAAGCUCUUUCACCGGUGAAGAUAAUGACGGUAACCGGAGAAGAAGCCCCGGCUAACUUCGUGCCAGCAGCCGCGGUAAUACGAAGGGGGCUAGCGUUGUUCGGAUUUACUGGGCGUAAAGCGCACGUAGGCGGACUAUUAAGUCAGGGGUGAAAUCCCUGGGCUCAACCCCGGAACUGCCUUUGAUACUGGUAGUCUUGAGUUCGAGAGAGGUGAGUGGAAUUCCGAGUGUAGAGGUGAAAUUCGUAGAUAUUCGGAGGAACACCAGUGGCGAAGGCGGCUCACUGGCUCGAUACUGACGCUGAGGUGCGAAAGCGUGGGGAGCAAACAGGAUUAGAAACCCGUGUAGUCCC